ensembl:lncRNA
CAGGGAGGCUGUUCCAUAAUCAUGGCGCUGCCGAGCAAAAGGCCCGGUCGCCCAUGGUGCGGAGCUUGGUUUUGGGGACGCGGAGGAGCGAGCUGUUUGAAGACCUGAGGGUGCAGGUGGAGGUUUGGGGAGUAAUUCAUUCUUGCAGCUAACCUGCAUACAUCUGGACCUUAACAAGGCAUCUUUUACACUUCGUAUCUACUAUCAUUAAACCUGUGGACGUGAACUAUAUCUUCAGAGUCGUGAUUCUUAGGAAGAGUUUAGCUGGCUGUCAGCGUAGAGAAUACCGAAGACGCCACAGUAAAACAACGAGCUUUCAACAGGCAAGAUAACGCAGCGCAAGCUAACAGCUAACCGCCAUGUCGUCGCCAAGGGCAACCAGUGGACGCACAUCUUUAAAUACACGCUCGGAAGCUCAGUGCUCAGUGAGAUCCAGCGCAUCAUCCAUAAGGUCUGCGGCAGUCCAAGCUAGAGCAAGAGCCGAAGCAGCAAAGGCACGUCUGCUCUACUUUGAAGAGG